UGGGGAAUAUUGGGCAAUGGGCGCAAGCCUGACCCAGCAACGCCGCGUGAGGGAAGAAGGUUUUCGGAUUGUAAACCUCUGUCCUUAGGGACGAAAAAAAUGACGGUACCUAAGGAGGAAGCUCCGGCUAACUACGUGCCAGCAGCCGCGGUAAUACGUAGGGAGCAAGCGUUGUCCGGAAUUACUGGGCGUAAAGGGUGCGUAGGUGGCCAUGCAAGUCAGAUGUGAAAUCCCCGGGCUUAACUCGGGGGGUGCAUUUGAAACUGCGUGGCUUGAGUGCAGGAGAGGAAAGCGGAAUUCCUAGUGUAGCGGUGAAAUGCGUAGAUAUUAGGAGGAACACCAGUGGCGAAGGCGGCUUUCUGGACUGUAACUGACACUGAGGCACGAAAGCGUGGGGAGCAAACA
rnacentral:rRNA from 1 species